rnacentral:misc_RNA from 1 species
GUGCAAGUGACAGUUCCAUUAGUGUUACAAGAGAUAUUAGUUCUCCAGACGUUUCUGUCAGUUUCAAUCCAAGUUCGUCUCCAACGAGUUUUCAACCUGAGAAAUCUCCAAAUUCUGACUGGUCACAUGUAGCAUCAGACAACGCAAAUAUGCUAGUUAAAGGAUCUGGCUCAGAUGCUUUUCGGGUUAGUGUUUCUAGUGCCCCAAGCACUUCCAGUCAUGGUUC